rnacentral:rRNA from 1 species
AUUGAACGCUGGCGGCAUGCUUUACACAUGCCAGUCGAACGGUAACAGCACUUCGGUGGCUGACGAGUGGCGAACGGGUGAGUAAUACAUCGGAACGUGCCUAGUAGUGGGGGAUAACUACUCGAAAGAGUAGCUAAUACCGCAUGAGAUCUAAGGAUGAAAGCAGGGGACCUUCGGGCCUUGCGCUACUAGAGCGGCUGAUGGCAGAUUAGGUAGUUGGUGGGAUAAAAGCUUACCAAGCCGACGAUCUGUAGCUGGUCUGAGAGGACGACCAGCCACACUGGGACUGAGACACGUCCCAGACUCCUACGGGAGGCAGCAGUGGGGAAUUUUGGACAAUGGGCGCAAGCCUGAUCCAGCAAUGCCGCGUGCAGGAUGAAGGCCUUCGGGUUGUAAACUGCUUUUGUACGGAACGAAAAGCCCUCUUCUAAUACAGGAGGGUCAUGAAGGUACCGUAAGAAUAAGCACCGGCUAACUACGUG